GACGAACGCUGGCGGCGUGCUUAACACAUGCAAGUCGAACGGAAAGGCCCUGCUUUUGUGGGGUGCUCGAGUGGCGAACGGGUGAGUAACACGUGAGUAACCUGCCCUUGACUUUGGGAUAACUUCAGGAAACUGGGGCUAAUACCGGAUAGGAGCUCCUGCUGCAUGGUGGGGGUUGGAAAGUUUCGGCGGUUGGGGAUGGACUCGCGGCUUAUCAGCUUGUUGGUGGGGUAGUGGCUUACCAAGGCUUUGACGGGUAGCCGGCCUGAGAGGGUGACCGGCCACAUUGGCACUGAGAUACGGGCCAGAGUCCUACGGGAGGCAGGAGUGGGGAAUAUUGCCCAAUGGGCGGAAGCCGGAUGCAGCAACGCCGCGUGCGGGAUGACGGCCUUCGGGUUGUAAACCGCUUUCGCCUGUGACGAAGCGUGAGUGACGGUAAUGUGUAAAGAAGCACCGGCUAACUACGUG
rnacentral:rRNA from 1 species